GAUGAACGCUGGCGGCGUGCUUAACACAUGCAAGUCGAACGGGAAACCUUUUAUUGCAGCUUCGGCAGAUUUAGCUGGUUUCUAGUGGCGGACGGGUGAGUAACGCGUGGGUAACCUGCCUUAUACAGGGGGAUAACAGUCAGAAAUGGCUGCUAAUACCGCAUAAGCGCACAGAGCUGCAUGGCUCAGUGUGAAAAACUCCGGUGGUAUAAGAUGGACCCGCGUUGGAUUAGCUGGUUGGUGGGGUAACGGCCCACCAAGGCGACGAUCCAUAGCCGGCCCGAGAGGGUGAACGGCCACAUUGGGACUGAGACACGGCCCAGACUCCUACGGGAGGCAGCAGUGGGGAAUAUUGCACAAUGGGGGAAACCCUGAUGCAGCGACGCCGCGUGAAGGAAGAAGUAACUCGGUAUGUAAACUUCUAUCAGCAGGGAAGAUAAUGACGGUACCUGACUAAGAAGCCCCGGCUAACUACGUG
rnacentral:rRNA from 1 species